CUUUACUGCGCAUGUGCAAACGGUGUCUUUGGAUGUCCCGGCCAUUUUGUGUAAAUGUUUGAAAAAAAAAACGAAUACGUUUUUGGCGUUGGAAAGUAAACAUGCUGACAAAACAUCAAGAUGUGUGGACACAUGGGGAGAAAAGACUCGUGAGAUCGGUUGCAGCAGAUAGCCUGAGACUUGCUGGUCGCAAACAUUUACCUCCUUACUUGCAUGUAAAAGAAAAAUGUAUCCUGAAAGCGGAAGUCAAUACUGACCCGGAGGGCCGCGAUGCUUAUCUUGCGCGAUCGAGGGUAACCUGAAUAUCAUUAUAGCCACACGAACAGAGCGACAAGGGGCUGGAUUGGAUUGAUAAAAGAUCCUCAAUUCCUGGAGCCAGAACAGUCUUGCCGGAUGUCUGAAUAUCACCAUAGAAACAAGAAAAGGGCAACAAGUGGCUGGAUUGGAGAGAGAUCUGAAGAAUAACCCUAGAUGAAACUGUGCUGCAGAAUAACCCUAGAUGAAACUGUGCUGCAGAAUAACCCUAGAUGAAACAGUACUGCAGAAUAACCCUAGAUGAAACUGUGCUGCAGAAUAACCCUAGAUGAAACAGUACUGCAGAAUAACCCUAGAUGAAACUGCGCUGCAGAAUAACCCUAGAUGAAACUGUACUGCAGAAUAACCCUAGAUGAAACUGCGCUGCAGAAUAACCCUAGAUGAAACUGCGCUGCAGAAUAACCCUAGAUGAAACUGCGCUGCAGAAUAACCCUAGAUGAAACUGUGCUGCAGAAUAACCCUAGAUGAAACUGUACUGCAGAAUAACCCUUGAUGAAACAGCGCUGCAGAAUAACGAUAGAUGAAACUGCGCUGGAGAUUUAGGCUUGAUGAAUCUGCAUUCUUUGUAUGCUGAAAGAAUGUUAAAAGCGUGGUUUUACUGUGUGUUAUAAUUCAUGACAUUAAGUGUCUAUUUGUAAUUAAAGAAAUCAGAGAUUAUCCAAUGAAAUCCAUGUUUUUAGCUCACCUGUCACGUAGUGACAAGGUGAGCUUUUGUGAUCACUCGUCGUCCGUCCGUCCGUCCGUCCGUCCGUUCACAAUUGCUUGUGAACACAAUAGAGGUCACAAUUUUGACCUAAUCUUUAUGAAACUUGGUCAGACUGAUCAUCUCUAUAAAAUCUAGGUCAAGUUCGAUAUUGGGUCAUCUGGGGUCAAAAACUAGGUCACUAGGUCAAUUAGUAGAAAAACCUUGUGAACACAAUAGAGGUCACAAUUUUAGCCUAAUCUCAAUGCAAUUUGGUCAGAAUGGUCAUCUCUAUAAAAUCUAGGUCAAGUUCGAUAUUGGGUCAUCCGCGGUCAAUAAUUAGGUCACUAGGUCAAUUAGUAGAAAAACCUUGUGAACACAAUAGAGGUCACAAUUUUAGCCUAAUCUCAAUGCAACUUGGUCAGAAUGAUCAUCUCUAUAAAAUGUAGGUCAAGUUCGAUAUUGGGUCAUCCGCGGUCAACAACUAGGUCACUAGGUCAAUUAGUACAAAAACCUUGUGAACACAAUAGAGGUCACAAUUUUAGCCUAA